rnacentral:rRNA from 1 species
UGGGAAGUAUUGCGCAAUGGGCGAAAGCCUGACGCAGCGACGCCGCGUGAGGGAUGAAGGUUUUCGGAUCGUAAACCUCUGUCAGCAGGGAAGAAAGUUAUAUGUGCUAAUCAGCGUGUAAUUGACGGUACCUGCAAAGGAAGCACCGGCUAACUCCGUGCCAGCAGCCGCGGUAAUACGGAGGGUGCGAGCGUUAAUCGGAAUUACUGGGCGUAAAGCGCUCGUAGGUAGUGUGACAAGUCAAGGGUGAAAUCCCCGUGCUCAACAUGGGAACUGCCUUUGAAACUGGUAGACUUGAGUGUGUGAGAGGAUAGUGGAAUUCCAGGUGUAGGAGUGAAAUCCGUAGAUAUCUGGAGGAACAUCAGUGGCGAAGGCGACUAUCUGGCACAUAACUGACACUGAGGAGCGAAGCGUGGGUAGCAAACAGGAUUAGAUACC